CUAUGCGGUCAGAAAAAAAUGUUAAAGCGACAUAUAGAUAAUAAACCAGAAUUAUUUUUGUUAGGCAUAUUUCUCUGGUAAUAUUACACAUUUUGACAGCAGCAAGAAUUGUAUUUACGCAAACACUAGAGAAAUGAGGAAACACCCCCAGAAGAAGAAAAUAAUUAAAAUAAAAAUACUAGACUGUGCAGAAGUGGAGAAAUUUAACAUUGAAGAUAAAAUAAAAAGACAGCACAGAAUAUUUUCGAACUUUGGAAUUGUUUUCUCAACGGUUGGAUAAUAGAGGAAGAAACUUAAAAGGGUUUAAUACUGCUGUGAAAUGAUAAUUAUCUUGAAUAAACGUAGCAGAAAGCUACUUCCUCCACAGCUCCCUCCGUAACAAGGUCGGUGUUACAUGUCGUAUCCUGCUUUACCCAAUAAUGGAAAGUCAAUGUUUGCCCCCCAACGUGACUCAACCGUUAUAUUCGAGCCCUUUCUAAAUAUUUGACCUGGGAAGACCUGCCAAAGGAAAACAUGGUGUGUGCAUGGAACAACAAUCACGAAACUGCUCAGGGAGUUGCGGUGGGGGGGGGGGAGGAGAGGACAGUUUUCCCUGCCACUUCCCCGUUGUGCAACGUUUCGCUUUUUGUCCGCAGUCAACUCUGACGUCGGGCUGGGAAGGAUGGGUGGUUCCAGGGGUUAUUUAUAGGGGAACAACGCCAGAGUCAACCACACCUGCACUCGAGAGAGACCGGACGAUUGCCAUCCUAAAGCGGGAGGAUUUGUAGCGUUCCACACAGCAGCAUGGAUGAGUUUCUCCAGCGGUGGCCCGGGUGGAAGAUACACAAAGUCUCCAUCAUCGCAAUCGUGUUCGUCUUGGCAGCCUUGAGUUCGGCCACAGGCGCCUUUUCCCGAUGCUCCACCACCAAAAUCAAUAACCGCCUGGUGGCCAACUGCCAAGCCCAAGGCCUCAGGGCCAUCCCGCACGUGGACGUGUCCACUCAAGUCUUCUUGUUGAAUUUCAACCUCUUCUCCACCAUCCAGAUGUCCUCCUUCCCACUGUUGAGCGCCCUGAAGAUGCUGUCAUUGGGGAAACAAUUAGGGGAUCCCCUCUAUGUUGGAGAGAGGGCCUUUGCGAAUGUCUCCAACCUCACCUUCCUAGAUCUGGGGGGCAACAGGAAUCUGUCGUUGCAUCCCGAAGCGUUCCAAGGUUUGACCAAACUCAAGGUAUUACAUUUGGACUUCAGUGGUUUUGACAACAGGAUCCUGGAGAAGGGCUAUUUCCGAGACCUUGUAUCGCUGGAAACCUUGGACCUUAGAGGAAACCGUCUUCAUCAGUUGAGCCCAGAUCCAACCUUCCAAAGACUGAAAAAAUUAAGCGUCCUUCGGCUGGAACUCAACCAAAUCGGGGCAAUUUGCGGGGACGACCUCCGAUAUCUCAGAGGGCGUCAUUUGACCUUCCUUGACCUGUCCUCCAAUCGAUUGUCCAGGGAUCGUCCUUCUUCUUGCGCCAACCCGUUUCUCAACAUCACCCUGGGCACCUUGGACAUCUCUUCCAACCCAUGGGACGUGACCCGAAUCGAAGACUUCCUCAAAAGACUGAACGGCACAACAAUCCAGAACCUCAAGGUGCAGCAUUCAGGAGCCAUUGGCAGUGGGUUCGGCUUCCAGAACUUGAAGGACAUUUCAAACACCACGUUCUCGGGCCUGCGUCACAGCCGCAUCCGGACUUUCGACAUGUCUCAUGGUUUUCUCAACGCCCUGAACUCCUCCGUUUUCUCAAGCUUGCCAGAUCUCAACACCUUGCUCUUGAGAUCCAACCAGAUUAAUAAGAUUCAGAAGGGGGCAUUUUCAGGGUUAAGCAAGCUCCAAGUUCUUGAUCUGUCCGACAAUCUUCUCGGGGAGCUGUACACAGAAGGACUGGAGGAUUUGAAGUCCUCUGCGCUACGACGUCUGAUUCUGAAGUCCAACCACAUUGGAAUUUUUCAGCAUGACGCACUGACGGGCCUAAAAUCUUUGCAGUUCCUUGACCUGCAAGACAAUGCUCUUGACCGAGUUCCCAGCGGGAAUCUCCCUUCCUUGCUGCAUCUUAAUUUGGGGCAAAACAGGAUCCGGGACAUUUGGGGCAUAGAAAAACUUGCUCCAAACCUGGUCCAUCUCGAUCUCUCCUUCAACCGUCUAAAAGACCUGGAGAAUGCCUGGCAUCACCUCGCGGAGAUUUCUCCCUUAAGGUUCCUGAAUCUUUCCGGCAACCACCUGUCAAGGUGUUCACAAGUCCAGAAGUCUCCAAGGCAGCUUACACAACUGGACCUUUCCCACAACAAUCUGGGAGACAUUUGGGCCACCCAGAGAUGCACGGACCUCUUCCAGCAUCUGGAGAAACUCCGGGCGUUAAAUCUCAGCUCCAAUCACCUUCGUGACUUGCCUGGGAACCUUUUCCAGAGUUUGACGUCUUUAGAAAUCCUGGAUCUCGGGGCCAACAGGUUGCACAAACUUCCAGAACAGAUUUUCCGUAGUUUGAAAUCCCUGCAUGGUCUGAGUGUCCGUGGAAAUCCGCUGAUGACCCUCUCGCCCGCCACAUUUCAACCCAUGGGGCAGCUGAGAUUCCUGGAUUUGAGGGAACUGUCCUUAGUUUGCAGUUGCGACCUCAGAAAUUUCAGCAACUGGCUGCAGAACCGCAACACAACCGUGAAGGCACCUGAGCUACUCCUGACUUGCGUUCAGACCGGCUCCAAUUUCCAGAGGCAGCCCCUGCCUCAGUUCCUACACAAGUGUCUCUUAGACAACACACAUUUCCCCUCUGUUGCGCAACAGGUUUUGGAGGGAGUUUGAACAAAUUGUCAACUAUGUCCUGAAAAUCCAGCAGAGAGAACAAUUUGGCUGGAAAAGACUUGUAAUGGCAAUGCAAAUAGUCCUUGGCUUACGACCACAUUUGAGCUCCAAAUUUAUGUGGCUAAGCGUGACAGCUGUAAAUUCUGGCCCAUUUUACCACCAUUCUUGCCACAGUGAAGUGAAUCAUCGCAAGCGUUAUGGUAAUAGCACCGUUGUUCAAGUGAAUCUGGCUUUCUCCCAUGGAUUUUGUCAAGUUGCAAAAGUGACAUUUGUGACACUGCGACCGUCAUAAGUAGAAACCAGUUGCCAAGUGUCUGGGUUUUGAUCAUGUGACCAUGGGAUGCUGCAACUGUCGUGUGACGAAGACACAAGUCCUUUUUUCUUUAGUGCCACUGUAACUUUGAAAUUGUCAGUAAAUGAAUGGUUGUAAGUCGAGGACUACUGUACAGUACAAAAUAUGCAUGAAUCAUUUUAUUGCAAUGUAAGGGAAUGGGAAAAAAUAGAGGCCGAUUCAAUAUUUUGUCUACGUUGCAACUAUCUGAGCUGAACUUUGUAUAUCUGUAAAUAAACCAGCACUUUAGAAAAUAACCUUCUGCCUAAUAACUUCUUUCAAAGGAAAUAGGUAAAGGUUCCCGUGGCACAUGCGUGCUAGUCGUUCCCGACUCUAGGGGGCGGUGCUCAUCUCUGUUUCUAAGCCGAAGAGCCAGCACUGUCCGAAGACAUCUCCGUGGUCAUGUGGCCGGCACGACUCAACGGCAAAGGCUCACGGAACGCUGUUCUCUUCCCACCAAAGGUGGUCCCUAUUUUUCUACUUGCAUUUUUUACCUGCUUUUGAACUGCUAGGUUGGCAGAACCACACACCACCCCUACCAGAUCGGGCAACCCGGUCCGAACCGGGAGCAUUUCACCCCUGGUACAACACUUAACGAUAGUCAUAGGGGACAAACAAGCAA